rnacentral:rRNA from 1 species
AAGCCGAUGAAGGACGUUACUAACGACGAUAUGCUUUGGGGAGCUGUAAGUAAGCUUUGAUCCAGAGAUUUCCGAAUGGGGAAACCCAACAUGAGUUAUGUCAUGUUAUCGAUAUGUGAAUACAUAGCAUAUCAGAAGGCACACCCGGAGAACUGAAACAUCUUAGUACCCGGAGGAAGAGAAAGAAAAAUCGAUUCCCUUAGUAGCGGCGAGCGAAACGGGAAGAGCCCAAACCAACAAGCUUGCUUGUUGGGG